rnacentral:rRNA from 1 species
UACGGAGGGUGCAAGCGUUAUCCGGAUUCACUGGGUUUAAAGGGUGCGUAGGCGGGUUGAUAAGUCAGUGGUGAAAUCCCCGAGCUUAACUUGGGAACUGCCAUUGAUACUAUUAGUCUUGAAUACCGUGGAGGUCGACGGAAUAUGUCAUGUAGCGGUGAAAUGCUUAGAUAUGACAUAGAACACCAAUUGCGAAGGCAGUUGACUACGCGAGUAUUGACGCUGAGGCACGAAAGCGUGGGGAUCAAACAGG